rnacentral:rRNA from 1 species
UGACCGUUUAUCGCAAUCUGCCGACCACUCGCGAUUCAAUCAUGACUUCGUGAUAAAAGAUUGAGUGUGAGGUUAUAACGCCGAAGCGGUAAAAAUUUUAAUUUUUGCCGCUGAGGGGUUGACCAAGCGAAGCGCGGUAGGUUUUCUGCUUAGGAGUUUAAUCAUGUUUCAGACUUUUAUUUCUCGCCAUAAUUCAAACUUUUUUUCUGAUAAGCUGGUUCUCACUUCUGUUACUCCAGCUUCUUCGGCACCUG